rnacentral:rRNA from 1 species
GACGAACGCUGGCGGCGGGCUUAACACAUGCAAGUCGAACGGAAAGGCCCUGCUUUUGUGGGGUGCUCGAGUGGCGAACGGGUGAGUAACACGUGAGUAACCUGCCCUUGACUUUGGGAUAACUUCAGGAAACUGGGGCUAAUACCGGAUAGGAGCUCCUGCUGCAUGGUGGGGGUUGGAAAGUUUCGGCGGUUGGGGAUGGACUCGCGGCUUAUCAGCUUGUUGGUGGGGUAGUGGCUUACCAAGGCUUUGACGGGUAGCCGGCCUGAGAGGGUGACCGGCCACAUUGGGACUGAGAUACGGCCCAGACUCCUACGGGAGGCAGCAGUGGGGAAUAUUGCAUAAUGGGCGGAAGCCUGAUGCAGCAACGCCGCGUGCGGGAUGACGGCCUUCGGGUUGUAAACCGCUUUCGCCUGUGACGAAGCGUGAGUGACGGUAAUGGGUAAAGAAGCACCGGCUAACUACGUG